rnacentral:rRNA from 1 species
AGAGUUUGAUUAUGGCUCAGGAUGAACGCUGGCGGCGUGCUUAACACAUGCAAGUCGAACGGGGUACCCAUGACAGAGGCUUCGGCCAAUUGAUUGGAAUACCUAGUGGCGGACGGGUGAGUAACGCGUGAGCAAUCUGCCUUGGAGUGGGGAAUAACAGUUGGAAACAGCUGCUAAUACCGCAUAAUACAGUUGUGUCGCAUGGCACUGACUGUCAAAGAUUUAUCGCUCUGAGAUGAGCUCGCGUCUGAUUAGCUAGUUGGUGAGGUAACGGCUCACCAAGGCGACGAUCAGUAGCCGGACUGAGAGGUUGGCCGGCCACAUUGGGACUGAGACACGGCCCAGACUCCUACGGGAGGCAGCAGUGGGGAAUAUUGGGCAAUGGGCGCAAGCCUGACACAGCAACGCCGCGUGAAGGAAGAAGGCUUUCGGGUUGUAAACUUCUU